UGGCGGCAUGCUUUACACAUGCAAGUCGAACGGUAACAGGUCUUCGGAUGCUGACGAGUGGCGGAACGGGUGAGUAAUGCAUCGGAACGUCGCCCAGUCGGUGGGGGAUAACGCAGCGAAAGCUGUGCUAAUACCGCAUACGAUCUAAGGAUGAAAGCGGGGGAUCGCAAGACCUCGCGCGAUUGGAGCGGCCGAUAUCAGAUUAGGUAGUUGGUAGGGUAAAGGCCUACCAAGCCAACGAUCUGUAGCUGGUCUGAGAGGACGACCAGCCACACUGGAACUGAGACACGGUCCAGACUCCUACGGGAGGCAGCAGUGGGGAAUUUUGGACAAUGGGCGAAAGCCUAAUCCAGCCAUUCCGCGUGCAGGAUGAAGGCCCUCGGGUUGUAAACUGCUUUUGUACAGAACGAAAAGGUCUCUAUUAAUACUAGGGGCUCAUGACGGUACUGUAAGAAUAAGCACCGGCUAACUACGUG
rnacentral:rRNA from 1 species